CCUACGGGUGGCAGCAGUGAGGAAUAUUGCACAAUGGGGGAAACCCUGAUGCAGCGACGCCGCGUGAAGGAAGAAGUAUUUCGGUAUGUAAACUUCUAUCAGCAGGGAAGAAAAUGACGGUACCUGACUAAGAAGCCCCGGCUAACUACGUGCCAGCAGCCGCGGUAAUACGUAGGGGGCAAGCGUUAUCCGGAUUUACUGGGUGUAAAGGGAGCGUAGGCGGUUUAGCAAGUCAGAAGUGAAAGCCCGGGGCUCAACUCCGGGACUGCUUUUGGAACUGCGUGGCUGGAGUGCAGGAGGGGCAGGCGGAAUUCCUGGUGUAGCGGUGAAAUGCGUAGAUAUCAGGAGGAACACCGGUGGCGAAGGCGGCCUGCUGGACUGCAACUGACGUUGAGGCCCGAAAGCGUGGGGAGCAAACAGGAUUAGAUACCCUUGUAGUC
rnacentral:rRNA from 1 species